rnacentral:rRNA from 1 species
UACAGGGGGGGCAAGCGUUGUUCGGAAUUACUGGGCGUAAAGGGCCAGUAGGCGGCCAACUAAGUCACACGUGAAAUCCCCAGGCUUAACCUGGGAACUGCGUGUGAUACUGGAUGGCUUGAAUUCGGGAGAGGGAUGCAGAAUUCCAGGUGUAGCGGUGAAAUGCGUAGAUAUCAGGAAGAACACCCGUGGCUAAGGCGGCUCUCUAGUACGGUACUGACGCUGAGACGCGAAAGCGUGGGGAGCGAACAGG